rnacentral:misc_RNA from 1 species
AACGCACAUUGCGCCCGCCAGUAUUCUGGCGGGCAUGCCUGUUCGAGCGUCAUUACAACCCUCAAGCCCCCCGGCUUGGUGUUGGGGACCGGCCACCGGUGCCCUGCUGCUUCCGCGGCAGGCGCGCCCGGCCGCCCCCGAAAUGAAUUGGCGGCCCCGUCGCGGCCUCCCUCUGCGUAGUAGCACACAUCUCGCAGCUGGAGCGCGGCGCGGCCACUGCCGUAAAACGCACCAACUUUUUUUACAGUUGACCUCGAAUCAGGUAGGAAUACCCGCUGAACUUAA